GAUACGAGGAAAUAAAAAGGGGCAAGUGCCCGGAACCUCGAAAGAAAAGAAAAAGUGAGACGAGAGGUAAAAAUGGACAAGUGUCCGAUAGUAGAAUUAGGGGUACAAGAUACCCACCUGAGAGAAAAGAAAAGGAAAAUAUAGAGCAUCUCAUUCUCCUCAAUAAGUUUCAAGAGAGCAAGAAAGGUAUGUAUCCCCUCAAAAGACCACA
rnacentral:lncRNA from 1 species